rfam:Schistosoma mansoni strain Puerto Rico chromosome 2, complete genome
AUCCAGAUGACCAGUCCCAAAUAGGUCGAAACGUGCUUCCUGGAU